UACAGAGGUCUCAAGCGUUGUUCGGAUUCAUUGGGCGUAAAGGGUGCGUAGGCGGCGUGGUAAGUCGGGUGUGAAAUCUCGGAGCUUAACUCCGAAACUGCAUUCGAUACUGCCGUGCUUGAGGACUGGAGAGGAGACUGGAAUUUACGGUGUAGCGGUGAAAUGCGUAGAUAUCGUAAGGAAGACCAGUGGCGAAGGCGGGUCUCUGGACAGUUCCUGACGCUGAGGCACGAAAGUGUGGGGAUCAAACAGG
rnacentral:rRNA from 1 species